AUAAACAUAUACAUAGUUAAUUAUUGUUGAAUAAUGGCGAGGGGGGCGACACAUCCAGAUUAUCUCAGUUUUUUACUAAUCCCACAAUUUUUUCGUACAGUGCAUUCUUACUUUCCAUCCAGUCCCAUCCUCACUAUCUGUUCCCAUCUCUUCCAUCUGCCUUUGCAUCUUAAAUCUUUUUUCGUACUACUCGCAUCUCUUUUCAAUCUAACCUGAUUGACAUAAACAAAACAAGCGAUUUGUUUUGUUUUUAGCAGCGCUCCUAACUUACAGAUUUCAGUUGCGCACCAGUAAAGUGUACUUAAAAAUUCUUGUGGCCGUACAAAAAUGUGUAAUUGUUAGUCUUUUGAAACUUGCGAAAACCGGAGCCGUGCGAUGAUUACCAUAUACUUUCAUGCUGCUGACUACCGCCGGAAUCAAUCAUCUCCGGAUCGAUUUGUGUGAAGCAUUCGGUGUUGCAGCUAUUCACCCGCGGUACCAAAGAAACUACCGAUUUCCGAAUGCAAGCCAGUUGCCGGGACUAGCAAUUCUGUUCGAUUGAGCCACCGAGCGAAAUGCACCAGCAGAAAUAUGACGGAUAAAGAACAGGAUAGUAUUCCCGAAGAAGUGCAGCUUUUCAAGAUGAUACUCUGUGGUGCGCAUCACACAACUCCCCACAGUUGGAGAACAUCAUGGAGUGAUCAGAACUUUCCCGUUGCGUAAUAGGUAUCUAGCCUGAAACGAGCAAAACCAAAAGUAUAAACAGCUGAUUGUCACUAAACAGUA